rnacentral:rRNA from 1 species
UACAGAGGUGGCAAGCGUUGUCCGGAAUUAUUGGGCGGAAAGAGCUCGUAGGCGGUCUGUUGCGUCCGCUGUGAAAACCCGGGGCUUAACCCCUGGCUUGCAGUGGAUACGGACAGACUAGAGGUAGGUAGGGGAGAAUGGAAUUCCCGGUGUAGCGGUGAAAUGCGCAGAUAUCGGGAGGAACACCGGUGGCGAAGGCGGUUCUCUGGGCCUUACCUGACGCUGAGGAGCGAAAGCGUGGGGAGCGAACAGG